UACGUAGGUGGCAAGCGUUAUCCGGAAUUACUGGGCGUAAAGCGCACGCAGGCGGUCUUUUAAGUUUGACGUGAAAGCUCCCGGCUUAACUGGGAGAGGUUGUUGAAUACUGGAAGACUUGAGGAAAUGAGAGGGGUGUAGAAUUCCUGGUGUAGUGGUGGAAUGCGUAGAUAUCAGGAGGAAUACCAGUGGCGAAAGCGGCACCCUAGCAUUUUUCUGACGCUCAUGUGCGAAAGCGUGGGGAGCGAACGGG
rnacentral:rRNA from 1 species